UACGUAGGAGGCAAGCGUUGUCCGGAAUUACUGGGCGUAAAGCGCGUGUAGGUGGUGGGACAAGUCUGCUGUGAAAGCGCCGGGCUUAACCGGGCGAGGUCGGCGGAAACUGUCCGACUAGAGGACGGUAGAGGGGGGUGGAAUUCCCGGUGUAGUGGUGAAAUGCGUAGAGAUCGGGAGGAACACCUGUGGCGAAGGCGGCCCCCUGGGCCGGCCCUGACGCUGAGACGCGAAGGCGUGGGGAGCGAACGGG
rnacentral:rRNA from 1 species